UUACGCCUGCUGGGUUGAUGCACGCGAGAGAAGCUGCGUGUUUGGGGGCCUUUCUCUUAAGUUGUUUAUUCGAAGUAUCCAUUCAUUCUCAUUGUUUUCACUAUGAAAUGGGUGACACUAUUGUAUUUUUUCUAUGCUACGGUGGUUUCCAGUGAUCUGACUGUCGACAACACACCUUUAGUCAAGUAUUGCCGGAAAGCUACUACUUUUAUGAUACUUGGUAUGUACGUGGAUAGGUGUGUGUAUCUCUGCGAAGGACUGCCAUUCCGGUAUGCUAGGGAAUACGACGGCACCCUAUGCGUCAAACUGGUUGACGGAUAUACAACACCAGGUUUCUGCAAGGACGGCCAAUGCGAACUGGUCGAAGCUGCAAGAAAUGGACAAUAAUUUCAGCGGCACAUGAAUGACCCCUGUGCACAAAACUUGAAUGCUGCAUCAGAGACAAUUUACAAGAGGAGCCAGUGCCACUCAUUUUGCAUUAUUUAUUUUUAAGUAUAAGUAAAAUAGUUAAC